GAUGAACGCUGGCGGCGUGCCUAAUACAUGCAAGUCGAGCGAACAGACGAGGAGCUUGCUCCUCUGACGUUAGCGGCGGACGGGUGAGUAACACGUGGAUAACCUACCUAUAAGACUGGGAUAACUUCGGGAAACCGGAGCUAAUACCGGAUAAUAUAUUGAACCGCAUGGUUCAAUAGUGAAAGACGGUUUUGCUGUCACUUAUAGAUGGAUCCGCGCCGCAUUAGCUAGUUGGUAAGGUAACGGCUUACCAAGGCAACGAUGCGUAGCCGACCUGAGAGGGUGAUCGGCCACACUGGAACUGAGACACGGUCCAGACUCCUACGGGAGGCAGCAGUAGGGAAUCUUCCGCAAUGGGCGAAAGCCUGACGGGCAACGCCGCGUGAGUGAUGAAGGUCUUCGGAUCGUAAAACGCUGUUAUUAGGGAAGAACAAAUGUGUAAGUAACUAUGCACGUCUUGACGGUACCGAAGCAGAAAGCCACGGCUAACUACGU
rnacentral:rRNA from 1 species